ensembl:snoRNA
UUGCACGUGGAAAUGCCUUCUUAUUCCUUUUGGAGGAAAACUACAUCCAUACCACGGUACACUAAAAACAGGAGUUCUCAGGAUUAUCAACCUUACAGUAGAGGUUGAGUAGUAGUAUAUUUCUCCUACAUUA